AAUCACCAACACAAAGGUUGUGCAUUUUCUCAAAAUCUCUCAUUUCAAUUCCCCUCCAUUCGUUAGAGGGAGCCAAAAUGACCCUGUGGCUAAACUUGGUAUUCUUUCUUGCAUCCCUUGGAGGUGUCAAAUCUCAAGUCCAGUUGGUGGAGUCUGGAGGGGAUGUGAGAAGACCUGGGGAGUCCCUCCGUCUCUCCUGCCAAGCCUCUGGGUUCACCUUCAGUGGUUAUUGGAUGACCUGGGUUAGACAGGCUCCAGGGAAAGGACUGGAAUGGGUAGCCUACAUACGUGCAGGUUCAAAUCCUUCCACUUAUUACUCAGACAAAGUCAAGGGCUGCUUCACCAUCUCCAGGGAUGAUGCCAAAAGCCAACUGUUGUCAAUGCUUGUUCAUCAUUUGUUCCCUGGAAUCACCAUUGAGAAGUGGGGACUGGAAUGGGUGGCAAGGAUCGGAACAUCCUCAUCUCCAAUUAGCUAUUCAGACAAAGUUAAAGGACAUUUCGCCAUCUCCAGGGAUGAUUCCCACAGCCAGCUGCAUUUGCAAAUGAACAAUCUUAAAUUGGAGGAAACGACAGUUUAUUACUGUGCAAGAGACACAGUGAGAGGAAGUGAAUCUGAUGCCAAACAAGAGACUUCUCAUCAGAGAAGCUGUA